GAUGAACGCUAGCGGCAGGCUUAACACAUGCAAGUCGAGGGGUAUAGUUCUUCGGAACUAGAGACCGGCGCACGGGUGCGUAACGCGUAUGCAAUCUACCUUUUGCAGAGGGAUAGCCCCAGAGAAAUUUGGAUUAAUACCUCAUAGUAUGUGAGGAUGGCAUCAUUUUCACAUUAAAGUCACAACGGCAAAAGAUGAGCAUGCGUCCCAUUAGCUAGAUGGUAAGGUAACGGCUUACCAUGGCGACGAUGGGUAGGGGUCCUGAGAGGGAGAUCCCCCACACUGGUACUGAGACACGGACCAGACUCCUACGGGAGGCAGCAGUGAGGAAUAUUGGACAAUGGGCGCAAGCCUGAUCCAGCCAUGCCGCGUGCAGGAUGACGGUCCUAUGGAUUGUAAACUGCUUUUGACAGGAAGAACACUACUUCGUGAAGUAGCUUGACGGUACUGUAAGAA
rnacentral:rRNA from 1 species